rnacentral:lncRNA from 1 species
GGUGGAACAACGAGAAUGAAUUUGUGAAUGUAAAAACAAAUAAUGAUCAACGUGCUGAAAUGGUGUGAUGGCCAGACUAGAUUUGUAAUAGCAUCGAGAUAAGUAACGAUCGACGUUGCUGGUAUGGCGUACGAUUGCGAGAUUGGUUGCUUUUGUUUUGGUGGUGAGACUAGAGAAUAGGAAGAGAAGAAAAGAGAGU